AGCCUGUUCUGCACCAGACCAGUGGAGCCAGACUGCAGCUAGAGCCCAUCAUCAUCCUCAUCUGGUUGUUAGUAGGCAAUCUAGUAUAUUAUUCGUGGCACUAAUCUCUAAUUUACCUCACAUUAAAGAAACACUAUAGUCCUCAGAACCACUUCAGCUUAAUGUAGUGGUUCUGGUGUCUAUAGCCUGUCCCUGCAGGCCUUUUAAUGUAAAC